UGGAAGUUGUGGAACCAGAUCAGAACGCUUUCGAGUACUACCUAGGGCACGGACUGAGAAGGAUGUGGAGGUUUUUGACCAGACUAAACAUGGACAAGGCGCAGGAGAAACAGAAGGAGAGCCACGGAAGCAGAGUCAAGAAGGGGACCAAGUGCUACGACAUCCGGGCGAAUUACUUGGUUUGGAAGAAGGACAAAAGGAGGGGUGGAAGCUAACAAUCUUCUACAGUUGGAGCAGUUGGACGGUCGACCACUGAAAGCACUGACGCCCUACACUUCAAUGAAGCCCAAUAAACAAAGACCAUCAACUGCUCGAGCCCCCCAGGAGGUAUCCCGUCCACCAGAACCAGUGAGUUCGGAUCAGUCUGAUUCUCUAUGCUCUGAGUCGGAGGGGGACCAGCUUGAGGUGGGCUAUACCUUCCAAAAGAGUUGAAAAGUACAUAUCUCCCAAUUAUAACACUGCACUAAUCCAACAAAUGUUCUCACAGUAAAGUGUAACCUGUGAGAUACACAGAUUAACUAAAAACACGAGCACUGCAAACACAAAGAGAGCAGCAGUGCCUGGACUUUGCAGUCUGCCUCUUCAAGUCCCCCUUAUGAGACUGGCUGCCUGUUGAGAACAAGUGACAGGCAGAACCUCCCACCCACACAGCAACCCCUUCCUCUAUAUUCCACACACCAGAAUUCAGUAUUUUAUUCUAUGAUUGCCAUGUGAGUGCACAAAAAAUCUGUGAAAAUAAAUGAAUGACA